GGAGAGGUCUGUUGAUAAUCUGUUACAUAGUCUAACAGGGGAGAGGUCUGUUGAUAAUCUGUUACAUAGUCUAACAGGGGAGAGGUCUGUUGAAACUCUGUCUCAUAGUCUUACAGGGGAGAGGUCUGUUGAUACUCUGUCUCAUAGUCUAACAGAGGAGAGGUCUGUCUCAUAGUCUUACAGGGGAGAGGUCUGUCUCAUAGUCUAACAGGGGAGAGGUCUGUUGAUAAUCUGUCUCAUAGUCUAACAGGGGAGAGGUCUGUUGAUAAUCUGUUUCAUAGUCUUACAGGGGAGAGGUCUGUUGAUACUCUGU
rnacentral:lncRNA from 1 species